UUAUUUUGUAGUUCUUUUAAAAGAGCCAAUCAAAAGAGUAAACCAAACCCUCUUGUUGCUAUGCCUGUCAAGAUCAAGCUCCGUGAUUGGUCAAACGCCCACCGCGUGCUCUACGGGCAUGCGCAGUUCUCUCACUUACAUCCGCAACAAACCAAGCAUGGUUAGUGUUAUUGCAAGUUUGAUUAAUGUUUCGUCUCGUAAAUAGCCGUAUUUACUCCUCAUUUUUGGACAACAAUGACAAGGACAAAGGCGACUGGGAGUCUGAUGAUGACUGGGAUGCCUUUGAUGAUGAAAAAGACGAUCGAGUGCACGAACUGGGAACAGAUUCAGCAGUGGAGAAGACCAAUGCGAUUUUUACCGCGGACGUAUCUCCCAAUUCUGGCUAUGAAAAGACCAAUAAUCUUUGCAUCAGCAAGGAAAGACUAACAGGCUUACUGAAAUGGUACUCCAAUGGGACAGGACAGGAGGGAGAAAGAGAUCCCUUCAGCUGGACAACAUCAAAGGAGAGGUGACAUUCAUCCAACAACAAGGUUCACAAAAUGCCCUAGUGCUCACUGGACAUGUCCCUGGAUUUAAACGUGAUGAUCUACAGCCCCUGCCUUCAGUUCACACUGCCACCAAGGUCAACCAAAGCUACAAAGAUGUUCUUCUUGGGACAGAGAAGAACUAUUGGACCAUCAAGCACCAACAAGAGUGGAGACUUGAAGAAAGCGACGCAUAUCUGAAUCUUACACUGACUCUGAGAGUGCCCAUAGACAGGUUGUGGGCGUGGAGAUGAACUUUUAAAUCUGUAAAUAUGUGGCAAGUACACAAGAGAAUACGUGAGUAAUGUGUGUGUGUGUGUGUGUGUGUGUGUGUGUGUGUGUGUGUGUGUGUGUGCGCGCG